CAACUGGACUUCAGGGCCUGGGAGGAUUCACUGCAUUCUAACAGCUUAAGAAACUGUCUACCUCUUUAUAUUACUGGGAAAGAAUAUUCACAUUACAAAUCGCACAGACGAGUUUUCGCCAUGUUGGCCAGGCUGGUCUCGAACUCCUGGCCUCAAGUGAUCCACCCGCCUCGGCCUCCCAAAGUCCUGGGAUUACAGGCAUGAGCCACCUCGUCCAGCCCUUAUUGUCAUUUUUUAAAAAUAAAAAUUCAUCUAUUUCUAACCAUAUAUUCCAUUCCCCAAUAAUCCUAGGUAAGAAUUUAGUGUCUUCGAAACGUGUAGAAAUCUUAACAUGGGAGCAGUGUGAAAAGAAUGGCAAGACGGAGAGAGGCUGCUUCAGAAGGCCCCAGCAGAGCUGGCGACCUGCAGACAGACAAAGGUGGUGCAGCUGGGAGGCAGACCCCGGGCUCCACCUAGGAUAGAGGAUGUGUGAUGUGGCUCUGUGUGUCUUUACAGAGGAUGGGACCACUGUAAAGACAACUGCUAAAUGAUGAGACAGCCCAAGGGGCUCCCACAUCCCAACAGGGACCUGGUGCUGGUGGCUGACACAUGCACAUCACACCAUGAACAUGAAGCCACACGGACAGCAGUUAUAGAAGACCCAGUUUUACCCAGAAAAGGAUUUCUGUGCACAAUGCAGUUGCAUUUUCAGAGGCAAGACCGUGAGAGAGAGCCAACUGAGACUCACGGUGACGGCGGCUUCCAGAUCUGCAUGUGUCACACGAAAAUGAGGUCACAGAGGUGCCGCUGUCAAGUAGUUUAAUCAUAGUCCCUACCGUGUGUACCUAAAGAAGAGAACUGUCCUUCCCUGGACAAACCACCCACCAGGUCGAGACUCCGAUCCGGACGCUCCCUGCACAUUACCAGGGUCUGUCACCACCCGCUUUGCUUCUCAGUUCUGUGUGACACCAACGCCCAGGGCCCACAGGGGACGAUUAUCAUUAACCAGUUUGUCCUUUCUUUGACCACAUAACUCUUUGUUUUCAAUGUUACUUAUGAAUAUUGAGAAAAACUGAGCCGAAUAUCUGGUGUAUGUGGUUAUUAUAACUUAAUCAAAAGCUGUCACAUUCAUUCCUGGCAGUCACUUCUGCUGAAGCUGUAACUUCCCAACAGGGAGGCACAAUGUUUUUCCCUAUGGUAGUAGUUUUCAACCUUUUAAAAAGCAUUAAAAUGCCUUCUAGGCUGAGGCAGGAGAAUCGCUGGAACCCGGAAGGCAAAGGUUUCAAGGGAUUCCCUGCCUUGGCCUCCCAAGUAGCUGGGAUUACAGGUGCCUGCUACCAUGCCCAGCUAAUUUUUGCAUUUUUAGUAGAGAUAGAGUUUCCCCAUGUUGGCCAAGCUGGUCUCAAACUACUAACCUCAAAUGAUCCACCCGCCUUGGCCUCCCAAAGUGGUGGGAUUACAGGCAUGAGCUACAGCAACCGGGCACAGGUAUACUCUUUUUUUUUUUUUUUCUUUUUGAGACAGAGUCUUGGGGGGGAAAAAGUGUACUUUGAAAAGAAAAUCAAAAGUUGGUCGAGUUUAGCAUUCUGCCUUCUCAGAACCUUAGAGUUGUGGGGUUGGAGGCCAAGGCCUUCCUCUGAAGACUCUGAGGCAGCCUCAGCUGCCCACCCAGUGAAUUCACUCAUUUUAUCUAAGACUCCAUCUGAAGAGGGGGCUGCCUCCAUGCACAAAGUGAGUCUAGGAACCACUGCACUGGAUAAUUUAAAACUCAAACUGUUUUGGUAGAUCACCCGUGGCCAACGCACCCUGGGAUGAAUUCCAUCAAACCUGCAGAGCUAUCAGGGGACACACCAGAUACACAGCCUGCACAUGGCCUAUAGAAUCAGGUGUCCAAAGUGAGAAAGGAAGCGUGGAAGGAGGAAACCAGCAGGCGUGCAGAGGAGCAGCUGCUUUCAUCCCCAGCAGCGACACUUCCAGCCCGCGGGCCUGACGGGGACACCUGCCCACGAACCCCCUGCAGGGGACACGAGUUCUCCUUCCUCUCCGAGUCCAUCUUUAAGAUGGUAACAGAGCUCUGAAUCGUCACCAUUUUAUCAUCAGAUGAUUUCAUGUCAACAUGGACCUAGAAAUACUGUCUCAAGAGAAACUUCCUCCAGAACUUCAUUCAAGAGGAUCACAAUCUGCACCCUGGCUCCUACAGCCUAGAUAAAGGACUUGUCCUUCUAUACGAAGCAUGCAGAUACGACAGCAACCAAGAGAAGAGUACAGUACACAGUUCUGACAGGAUGCGGGCGACAGGGAGGCCUGCGGGCCAGGAUUUCAGUUUAGACUACUGCCCAACUGGGGUUGAGUGGGCAAAGCAGAUGCUGAUUGGUUGUCUUGGCACAGAGAAAAACCAAAGCAAGAAAGCUGCCAGAUAGACAGUCAAAGAGAAUGUUCUCCCUCAAAUUUUGCUACUAACAUUUUUUAUAAAAUAUUUAUUUAGAAUGCUAGCUCCUACCAAAUUGCUAUAGCUAUAGAAAAUCCUAAAGAAUAAAAGGAUUUACAUUGUAAGAAAGCCCAAAACUACAAUUUGGCAGAACAUCUGUAGAAUUAUAACUAAUCAAACUGUACUACGGCAACUUCAAAAAACCAACUGUGCCCCUAGAUGAGUCAAAUGCCGCCUUCAAUUCUCCCUGACAAAAGUAAAAUACCAAAGACAUCAGCUUAUGUAUCAAAAAAAAAAAAAAAAAUCCAUGUGCUAAAAAAUUCACUGGAGAAAAAAUGUCCAGAAGGCCACAUGGUCUUUGGCAACCACUGGAUAAACAGCAGUGGUUAGGAAUUUCCAGGGGCAAACCAGUAAAACCCAGAGGGGGCCCUGUGCAGCCUCUCAGGCACAUGGCGGGCUGGCAACCAGGAAGAGCCAGCCCCAAAGAUCUGGACGCCCUCUCAGGGGAAAUGCAGGACGCUCAGGACUGAGGCAGGACAUCAAGAGAGCAGCCAUGUAAGCUCUUGUUUCUGACCUGUUUUCUAAAAACAAAUUCCACUUAAACAGCAUCUCCCUUUAAAGCAUUUCAACUCAUUCUAACAAAAUCUAGAGCAGCCUGGUCAGUGAAGUUAGGAGCACUGGAGUUAGCAAUGAAAUGGGUGAGUUAAAGAAGCAAGUUAGUUAUCUGCCACACUGAUCCCAAUAUUAAA
rnacentral:lncRNA from 1 species